GGGGUUGUGGCUCAGUGGUAGAGCGCUCAUCUAGCAUGUGCGAGGCCCUGGGUUUGAUCCUCAGCAUCACAU
rfam:Ictidomys tridecemlineatus contig010782, whole genome shotgun sequence.